CGGAAGCUCCCAGGCAAAUAACAGGUCUGAGAUGCCUUAGAUGUUCUGGGCCGCACGCGUGCUACACUGAGCGGGUCAACGGGUAGGAUGUGCGAGAGCGCUUCCCAAUCUCUAAAUCCGCUCGUGCUGGGGAUCGAGGCUUGCAAUUUUCCCUCUUGAACGAGGAAUACCUUGUAAGCGCGGGUCAUCAUCCCGUGCUGAAUACGUCCCUGCCCUUUGUACACACCGCCCGUCGCUCCUACCGAUUGAGUGGUCCGGUGAGGCCUUGGGAGGGAUAGAUGGACUGUGUUUCACAGACCGUCUGGCCCCAACUUGGUCAAACCUUAUCACUUAGAGGAAGGAGAAGUCGUAACAAGGUUUCCGUAGGUGAACCUGCGGAAGGAUCAUUCGUAGUGGGGUAGCGGGCCCAGGUGCUCCAUUCAGGGUGUCUGGUGCCUGCUCUUCUAACAUGUUUCGUGAACCAUUGUAAUCCAUAUUCUUUGUAACCAUUUAACCCAUAUAUCACAAACAAACAAAAACUGUUUAAUCAGACAAAAACUCGUGACGGUGGAUGUCUUGGCUCCAGCAACGAUGAAGAACGCAGCAAAAUGCGAUACGUAGUGCGAAUUGCAGAACCCGUGAAUCAUCGAAUCUUUGAACGCAAGUUGCGCUCGCGGGCAAUCCUGCGAGCAUGUCUGUUUGAGUGUCCGCACAAAUGCGACUUUUGCUCUUUUCUAAAAGAGCUGCUGAUGGGCGUGCAGAAAUGCAGUUAGUCCGGGUCUCGCUUCGUGUGAGAUGCGGUCGCCCGAAGAAUAGAGCGCUGAUUGUCGUAAUCUGCCCUUUACCUUGUCCUUUGGAUUUGAAGGGGCUUUUGGGUGUGACUUUCCCUUCACAGGGGGAGAUUGCUGCCUGAUGAGACGGCUAAGCGUGCGCUGCGAAGUAAUUUUAUUGAGCAGACGCGCCAAGUCCGAUUGUUAGGAACGCGAAUUAACUUCGGUUGGUUCGGGACCAGGAUUUCUUUCUGCCUUUGGAUGUCAAAGCGUGCAGAUACGUGCAAGUAGCCAGAUACCGUAAAACACUCAUUUUGGAUCUCAAAUCAGACAAGACACCCGUUGAAUUAAGCAUAUAAUUAG
rnacentral:rRNA from 1 species